CACGUAGGAGGCAAGCGUUAUUCGGAUUUAUUGGGCGUAAAGCGCGUGCAGGCGGUUUGGAAAGUUGGAUGUGAAAGCUCCCGGCUUAACUGGGAGAGGUCGUUCAAUACUUCCAGACUCGAGUAUGGGAGAGGGAGGUGGAAUUCCGGGUGUAGUGGUGAAAUGCGUAGAUAUCCGGAGGAACACCAGUGGCGAAAGCGGCCUCCUGGUCCAUUACUGACGCUCAGACGCGAAAGCUAGGGUAGCAAACGGG
rnacentral:rRNA from 1 species